UACCAGCACCCCGAGUGGUCGGGACGUUUUAUUGGGCCUAAAGCAUCCGUAGCCGGUCCUACAAGUCUUCCGUUAAAUCCAACUGCUUAACAGGUGGGCUGCGGAAGAUACUAUAGAGCUAGGAGGCGGGAGAGGCAAGCGGUACUCGAUGGGUAGGGGUAAAAUCCGUUGAUCCAUUGAAGACCACCAGUGGCGAAGGCGGCUUGCCAGAACGCGCUCGACGGUGAGGGAUGAAAGCUGGGGGAGCAAACCGGG
rnacentral:rRNA from 1 species